rnacentral:misc_RNA from 1 species
UGCAACUCGCGAACACGUACUUUACACUCGGGAAUCCAGGGGUGCCUCCCUCGCGAACACCCUUGGUUUCCCGACAACGUCGGGGCGGCAUGGCGUUCUUUUCUCCCGGUGACGUAAAACUCGCUCGGGAUAACUAACGCCCGGCUAAACCAACGCAACAAAAAACCGGCGUGAAAUGCGCCAAGGAACAUGAAAGAGAGUGCGCUCUUCUGGUGUCAGCACUGCUGCGCCAGCACGGGCGUCGUCUUCUUGAUGAGUUUAUAAUGACUCUCGGCAACGGAUAUCUCGGCUCUUACAUCGAUGAAGAACGUAGCAAAAUGCGAUACUUGGUGUGAAUUGCAGAAUCCCGUGAACCAUCGAGUCUUUGAACGCAAGUUGCGCCCGAAUCCUCUUGGUCGAGGGCACGUCUGCCUGGGUGUCACGUACACAUGCCUCCCGCAAACCUUCCUCCCUUUGUGGAUGAAGGGCCUCGCGGGUGCAGAUAAUGGUAUCCCGUGCCCUUUCCGCGCGGCUUGCCUAAAAAUGGAGAGCCAGUGAUGUAACGUCACGCCUAGUGGUGGUUAACGGGGCCUAACGGCCAACCAGUUCGCGGCGUGACUAGUCUUCAUCGGAAAUCUCCCACGACACCUUGGACGUCCUCUAAUGGACGUGCUAUUGUCGCGACCCCAGGUCAGGCGGGACUACCCGCUGA